rnacentral:rRNA from 1 species
UACGUAGGGUGCGAGCGUUAAUCGGAAUUACUGGGCGUAAAGCGUGCGCAGGCGGCGUUGCAAGUCGAGUGUGAAAUCCCCGAGCUUAACUUGGGAAUUGCGCUCGAAACUACGAUGCUCGAGUAUGGCAGAGGAAGGUGGAAUUCCACGUGUAGCGGUGAAAUGCGUAGAGAUGUGGAGGAACACCGAUGGCGAAGGCAGCCUUCUGGGCCAAUACUGACGCUGAGGCGCGAAAGCUAGGGGAGCAAACGGG